GUGCACAGUUAGAACAGGUGAAAUAAUCUAAUCUGGAAUAUUGCUCUCCUCACCUUUUUUUAAUAAAGAUUUGCCUCACCACAGACCUUAAUAUAACAGCAGUAAAGGCAAGAGAGGAAAUUGGAAACACGGCCAGGAGUGUGCCUUAUGGUUCAUAACAGCCCCAAAUUGUAACUGUUUAUUAAAACUAACACCCUUUUGUGAGUGAGGGUGUGGAUCAAAAUAUCCAGUGGUUUCUCUUCUUCAAUAUUCCCUUUUUUUAUAGCACUGAGUUUAAGUUUCAGUUUUAGAGUUUCAUUAAGUUUUUUAAAUUGUUUCUGACUGAAACAUUGACUUUAAAAGGCAACUUGUCCGUAAUUUGUCCCUGUUCCUUACUUCCAUUAUUUAUUUCAAUCCGUAGGAGAUGUCUAUGGAUGGAUGACCUCUUGGGCCACUGGGACAAGAAAGAGUUAAGGCAGGUGAAGGACCAGAGGAGUCAGAAGUCCAGAGAACUGCCUCACAAAAUACAAUUAAGGGCCUUUCCCAGGCCCACGGUGCUCUGGUGCUGCCAGAGUGUUUGCAUUGCAAGUGACAUCUGGCUGACAGGAACUUGGAGAAAUGGGAUACGAAGUGAAUGCUGCAGUUACCACAAGCAUCGUAUUUAUCAAAAGGUUUAAGGUUGGCCUGUCUUUGUUUAACAUAUGAAACUUGGAACAUUGACUGGGAAGCUCUGUGUUUUUGUGUUGCCUGCAUGUUUUAACUGAGCUGUUUAGGAAAAG
rnacentral:lncRNA from 1 species